rnacentral:rRNA from 1 species
UACGUAGGGUGCGAGCGUUAAUCGGAAUUACUGGGCGUAAAGCGUGCGCAGGCGGUUCGCUAAGACCGAUGUGAAAUCCCCGGGCUUAACCUGGGAAUGGCGUUUGAAACUACGGAGCUGGAGUGUGGCAGAGGGAGGUAGAAUUCCACGUGUAGCGGUGAAAUGCGUAGAUAUGCGGAGGAACACCGAUGGCGAAGGCAAUCCCCUGGGCCUGCACUGACGCUCAUGCACGAAAGCGUGGGGAGCGAACAGG